rnacentral:misc_RNA from 1 species
UUUCAACGAGUGUCCUGGGAAAAUCGUUAGUUCCUGUUCCCUGGUCUAUAUUAUUAAAAAUGUUGAGCAAUUUCACUAAAUUCCGAACUGAAUAUUCACUGAGUGCGAGUCUAAAUAAGUGUGACUAUCUUCACUCCAAAUAUUUCCCGCCAAUGCCAAUAACAAGAAUAGGUUUUAAACUUUUUAUGAAAUAAUUUAAAUAAUAUGUCUGUUGAAUACAACCCAGAUACUUUACGUGAUCUUUUGCCUUUAUAUUAUAGAAAACUGUUCCCGCAUUCACAGUUUUAUAAGUGGUUAAGUUAUGGACAUAAAUUAACAUUUGCCAAAAGAGAAAUAUCAUUCACUCUACUGGGAGAUAUUUACAUUCGAUAUCAAUCAUUUGAUACACAUGAAGAGUUUUUAAGUGAGCUGCUAAAGAAAUUCCCUAUUAAGAUCGAUUUAGGGGCUAUCUAUCCAACAAAGCCUAGAGACAAAGGGCCGGUGUCACAAAUUGUACCUGAAGAAAAAGAGAUAGUGUUUGACAUUGAUAUGACUGACUAUGAUGAUAUUAGGACUUGUUGUUCAGGUGCAGAUGUCUGCACGAAAUGCUGGAAAUUCAUGGUCAUAGCUUGUAAAAUAUUGGAUGCAGCACUUUACCAUCAUUUCGGCUUUAAUCACAGACUCUGGGUGUUUUCUGGAAGAAGAGGUAUCCAUUGUUGGGUGUGUGACCCUAAGGCAAGAAUAAUGGAUGACUCCAUUAGAAAUUGUAUAGCGGAUUAUCUUCAGAUAAUUAAAGGAGGCUCUAGUGCUCAUAAAAUGGUAUAUUUGCCUGGGGAAGAAAUACAUGAAUCUGUAGAAAAGCCGCCCAAUGGGAAGAAAUCUAGUGAAGUGAAGUUAAACUCCAACGUGGAUGGAGAAAGAAAUAAUCCAGUGAUUUUAGUUGCCACCGCCCAAUGGAAUAUAGAAAGUUUCAACAGGUUAUUACGUCCUCCACUCCAAGCACUGACCCAAAUACGAUAAUAUAUCAUCUGAUGAUGAUAAUGAUGAUGAAGAAAAAUAAAUAGUGGCCUAAUUGAUGAGAUCAAUGCCUAUGACAAAAAGACCAUGGAACAAGAACAAUAUCUAAUGGAAGUAGAUAGUGCUGAGACUCCAUCGAAAUCAAAGAUCAAAGACUAUAAAAAAACCAGUUUGUUACAUUCAGUUGCCAUUUGUGAAGAGUUUCUUAGGCUAUUGGAGAAGCAAAGAAGAGGCGAAGGUGAUUAGGUAACUAUGAAGCAGACAAAUUUAUCAGAAACGUUGCAUCUGGAUCAAAAGCUGGACGGAAUGUUUAAUAAAAUAGCUAAAAUAGUAUUAAGAUAUUUUGUUAUAAAAUAGACACUAGUAAAACCUAUGUGAAAAAAAUGUGUGUGUACUUUGUACGCACAUAAGAAGUUAUACUUCUGUUAUUAUGAUUUCAACAAAAUUAAUGUACUUAACAGGUUAUUUGUAAUUUAUUUAAAUAUU